CAGAGGUAGAAGGAGCCCUUUGGCAAGUGAAGAUUUUUCUAAUAAUAUUUCAUCAUUGCACUCAUCCUCAAAUAAACGUUCUUCACCUUGGAAUAAUGGCUCAACUAGAUUAGAAAAUGAGACUGAUGAGAGGUUGAAUGAUUACGAGAUGGAUUAUUCAUAUCGAAGUAAUUAUGAGUAUGACCGCUACCGUCAUCGUAGUUGGAGGUGAAUGGAACUGUAACUUGUUGUAACAUUAUGCCAUAGAUGUGAUUGUGACUUGUAAAAAUGUGGAAGAACAGCGAGAAGGGGAAAUCUCUUUUUUGUUGUUAUUAUUUUUUCCUGACAGGAGUUGCUCAUUUCUGCGACCAACAGC
rnacentral:misc_RNA from 1 species